CCUACGGGUGGCAGCAGUGAGGAAUAUUGGUCAAUGGGCGCGAGCCUGAACCAGCCAAGUAGCGUGAAGGAUGACUGCCCUACGGGUUGUAAACUUCUUUUAUAAAGGAAUAAAGUGAGGCACGUGUGCCUUUUUGUAUGUACUUUAUGAAUAAGGAUCGGCUAACUCCGUGCCAGCAGCCGCGGUAAUACGGAGGAUCCGAGCGUUAUCCGGAUUUAUUGGGUUUAAAGGGAGCGUAGAUGGGUUGUUAAGUCAGUUGUGAAAGUUUGCGGCUCAACCGUAAAAUUGCAAUUGAUACUGGCAGUCUAGAGUACAGUUUAGGUAAGCGGAAUGCGUGGUGUAGCGGUGAAAUGCUUAGAGAUCACGAAGAACCCCGAUUGCGAAGGCAGCUUACUAAACUGUGACUGACAUUGAUGCUCGAAAGUGUGGGUAUCAAACAGGAUUAGAUACCCGAGUAGUC
rnacentral:rRNA from 1 species